GCCUAACUGUAAACUAAUUGUUCGCCAAAUAACUACGAGUAAAAACUUAAAAUUUAAAAGACUUGACGGUACCCCACAACAACCUAGAGGAGCCUGUCCAAUAACCGAUACCCCACGAUUAACCCAACCACCCCUAGCCAACAGUCUAUAUACCGCCGUCGCCAGCCUACCCCAUGAGGGACAAAGUAAGCUAAAUAGCAUACACUAACACGACAGGUCGAGGUGUAACUAAUGGAGUGCCAAGAUGGGCUACAUUUUCUACCAGAAAAGAAUAAACUAUGAAAAAGAAACUGAAGGUGGAUUUAGCAGUAAACUAGGAAGAACACCUAAUUGAAAAACGCAAUGGGGUGCGUACACACCGCCC
rnacentral:rRNA from 1 species